rnacentral:rRNA from 1 species
UAGAUACCCUAUUAUUAUUAGAAAAUUUAUGAUGGAUGAAAUUUUUUAAGUUAAGAAAAUUGGCGGUUUGUUUUCCAAUUAGAGGAGUUUGCUUUAUUAAAGGAAAUUGCGCCAAAAAGUUUACUUUUGUUGAGGUUUUUAUACCGCUGUUUUAAAAUUAUAUUUGAAAAGAUAAUUAAAAGGAUUAGAUUGUUUUUUAUACUAGUCAAUAAUUCAAGUCAAGGUGAAGCUAUACAAAAGAGUAGAGUGAAUUACAAUAAGAAUUUUUAUUACGAAUAUGGACUUUAUAAUCUCUUGAAGGUGAAUUUAAAGGUAAAUUUAUAUGCUAUUUUGAUUUGAGUUAAAACAAAUGUACAUAU